CAGCCGCCGCGGUAAUACCGGCGGCCCGAGUGGCGGCCACUAUUAUUGGGCCUAAAGCGUCCGUAGCCGGGCUGGUAAGUCCUCCGGGAAAUCUGGUCGCUUAACGAUCAGACUUCCGGAGGAUACUGCUGGCCUAGGGACCGGGAGAGGCCGGGGGUAUUCCCGGGGUAGGGGUGAAAUCCUGUAAUCCCGGGAGGACCACCUGUGGCGAAGGCGCUCGGCUGGAACGGGUCCGACGGUGAGGGACGAAGGCCAGGGGAGCGAACCGGAUUAGAUACCCGGGUAGUCCUGGCUGUAAACGAUGCGGACUAGGUGUCGGGCAAGCUAAGGGCUUGUCCGGUGCCGCAGGGAAGCCGUUAAGUCCGCCGCCUGGGGAGUACGGCCGCAAGGCUGAAACUUAAAGGAAUUGGCGGG
rnacentral:rRNA from 1 species